rnacentral:tRNA from 1 species
GGGACAAUAGCUCAGGGGUUAGAGCAGGAUGCUUAUAACGUCAAGGUCGUAGGUUCAAAUCCUACCUGUCCCACCA